AGAGAGGCGAAGAGACGAAACCCCGGGUUUUAGGGCUCGGCCCGCUCGCCCUCUGACACACCGGGCGUCGCUGCAGUCCACGGAAUCCGAUCUGUCCGCCUCGCCAACAGCCAAUCAACGUCGCCCACGUCACCAUCUUACGUACCCCUCAGCACGUGGCAGGCACCGGUAUGGGUCGUACGAUACGCCUCUUCGCGGUACGGGUACCGCCGUCAGGCUUCUUGCCCGCUCUGAUGAACUCG
rnacentral:lncRNA from 1 species